AGGUCGUGUCACGUGGAACCUCUUAAUCUCAGCAUCCGGAGCUCCAGGAAGGGAAAAUUUCAAGUCAGAUAGAAUUCUAUAUAUACCAUUUCUUUGGAACCUUCAGCCCUCAAGAUUCCAACAUCAUGACCUCAGUUUCAACACAGUUGUCCUUAGUCCUCAUGUCACUGCUUUUGGUGCUGCCUGUUGUGGAAGCAGUAGAAGCCGGUGAUGCAAUCGCCCUUUUGUUAGGUGUGGUUCUCAGCAUUACAGGCAUUUGUGCCUGCUUGGGGGUAUAUGCACGAAAAAGAAAUGGACAGAUGUGACUUUGAAAGGCCUACUGAGUCAAACCUCACCCUGAAAACCUUUGCGCUUUAGAGGCUAAACCUGAGAUUUGGUGUGUGAAAGGUUCCAAGAAUCAGUAAAUAAGGGAGUUUCACAUUUUUCAUUGUUUCCAUGAAAUGGCAACAAACAUACAUUUAUAAAUUGAAAAAAAAAUGUUUUCUUUACAACAAAUAAUGCACAGAAAAAUGCAGCCUAUAAUUUGCUAGUUAGGUAGUCAAAGAAGUAAGAUGGCUGAAAUUUACAUAAGUAAUAUUUCAUAAUCUUAGAAUUCUCUCAAAGCAUGUGAAAUAGGAAGAAGGAAGUUCUUGCCCAGAAUCUUAGGAAAUCACCACUGUUCGGUUAUAAUCACUGCCUCCUGAAUCGUUGAGGAGUCUUUUAAAUUAGAUUUUUGUUUUGUUGUCUCCCAAGUUAAUAUUAUAUUUAGAUAUCAGAGAGUCAGGCAAAAAGGAAAACUUUUAUCUCUAGGGAAAAAACAUUUAGAAAAAUGUAUUCAGUGUAUCUAAUACUGAAAUGCGG
rnacentral:lncRNA from 1 species